UACGUAGGGUGCGAGCGUUGUCCGGAAUUAUUGGGCGUAAAGAGCUCGUAGGCGGCUUGUCGCGUCGGUUGUGAAAGCCCGGGGCUUAACCCCGGGUCUGCAGUCGAUACGGGCAGGCUAGAGUGUGGUAGGGGAGAUCGGAAUUCCUGGUGUAGCGGUGAAAUGCGCAGAUAUCAGGAGGAACACCAAUAGCGAAGGCAGCUCGCUGGGACGUUACUGACACUAAGGCGCGAAAGCGUGGGGAGCGAACAGG
rnacentral:rRNA from 1 species